GAUGAAGAACGCAGUGAAAUGCGAUAAGUAAUGUGAAUUGCAGAGUUCAGUGAAUCAUCGAAUCUUUGAACGCACAUUGCGCCCGCCAGUAUUCUGGCGGGCAUGCCUGUUCGAGCGUCAUUACAACCCUCAGGCCCCCGGGCCUGGCGUUGGGGAUCGGCGGAAGCCCCCUGCGGGCACAACGCCGUCCCCCAAAUACAGUGGCGGUCCCGCCGCAGCUUCCAUUGCGUAGUAGCUAACACCUCGCAACUGGAGAGCGGCGCGGCCACGCCGUAAAACACCCAACUUCUGAAUGUUGACCUCGAAUCAGGUAGGAAUACCCGCUGAACUUAAGCAUAUCAAUAAGCGGAGGA
rnacentral:misc_RNA from 1 species